GUAUUUCUAGUGCAGCAAAUACUGAUUAUGAACACCAAAAUAAAUCACAACAUAAUCCCGGUUCAGCAGAACCUCCCCACAAGAUAGGAGCUUCAACAAAAAUCAACUGAGAUUGUUUUCCAUUGGCUUUUAUGGGUUUCCAGCUCAUGCAGCAAAAGAUUUAAGCCCAUGCUUAAUUCUAGUAUCUCAGUUAACAUUUAACGUUUAUUACGUGCACGAUAUGGGAGUAGAUACUGAAGUAUUUUUACUUCAGUAAAAAGAGACAUUCAGAGAGAAUGUCAUUUAUCAGAAUUGUUUGAAAACAGAAUGCCAACAUUUCGCUUCUCCAAUUUCAUUAAGCUGUUUAUAUCUGAUUUUUCUUUAUCAGCAGUUAGUUACAAAAACAUAUGUAUUUAUUAUAGCAAUUUUGAAAAUAUUGGGUAUAAUUAUUAUAUAAUUUUGAAAAUAUUUGGGUAAUUUCCAGUAGGAAAAUGACAUCCUGAAAUGACCUGCUUGCGAGCGCUGGCAGAUACGCACCAAAUGCACAUUUAUUUUAAAUGCUACUUGUAUUUAUCUGGGGCAAACGCUUCUCUCAGUGUUCUGAAAUAUGUAGCAAAGACUCUACUACUGAGUGACAAAGUUUUGAAACUGUAUGUCUGUGAAAUGGGCAGGAAUCCAUAGAAAACUAACCAAAUCCUCCCACUUCAAAAUUUGUCACACAUUUAAAACUGUUUCAUACAGAUAAAGAAGGAGAGAUCACUGUAUCUUACUUCUUUGCUGCUCUUGAGUUAUAAUUUCAUUUGCAGUUUUAUUUAAACUGUCAAUUGCAUAAGAUGUUCAUUUCACAUAUUUUUUAUAACUCUGUGUAGGCCCACAAGGAGAUCCUGGAUUUCCAGGUCCUGCAGGUGACAUGGGGUCAGUUGGACCUUCUGGCCCUGUGGGCCUGCUAGGAAGACCAGGAGAUGAUGGAACAAGUCUGCCUGGCCUGCCAGGAAUAAGUGGGGCACCAGGACCUCAAGGUUUUCAAGGUGACCCUGGUUUGCCUGGAACGGGUGAAGCAAUUCCAGGAAGACCUGGAUUUCCUGGACCACCUGGACUACCAGGACAGCCAGGAAGACAAGGCUUACCUGGACUACCUAGUGUAAUUUGUACUGAGAGAGGGAUUCCUGGAGAACCUGGAGCAAAAGGUCAGAUAGGCCUUCCGGGAAGAAAAGGUGAAAAAGGAGAAAAAGGUAGGUAUACCUGGAUAGCAACAAUUUGA
rnacentral:lncRNA from 1 species